rnacentral:rRNA from 1 species
GACAAACGCUGGCGGCGUGCUUAACACAUGCAAGUCGAACGGAAAGGCCCUGCUUUUGUGGGGUGCUCGAGUGGCGAACGGGUGAGUAACACGUGAGUAACCUGCCCUUGACUUUGGGAUAACUUCAGGAAACUGGGGCUAAUACCGGAUAGGAGCUCCUGCUGCAUGGUGGGGGUUGGAAAGUUUCGGCGGUUGGGGAUGGACUCGCGGCUUAUCAGCUUGUUGGUGGGGUAGUGGCUUACCAAGGCUUUGACGGGUAGCCGGCCUGAGAGGGUGACCGGCCACAUUGGGACUGAGAUACGGCCCAGACUCCUACGGGAGGCAGCAGUGGGGAAUAUUGCACAAUGGGCGGAAGCCUGAUGCAGCAACGCCGCGUGCGGGAUGACGGCCUUCGGGCUGUAAACCGCUUUCGCCUGUGACGAAGCGUGAGUGACGGUAAUGGGUAAAGAAGCACCGGCUAACUACGUG